CCUACGGGAAGGCAGCAGUGGGGAAUCUUGCGCAAUGGGCGAAAGCCUGACGCAGCCAUGCCGCGUGUAUGAUGAAGGUCUUAGGAUUGUAAAAUACUUUCACCGGUGAAGAUAAUGACUGUAGCCGGAGAAGAAGCCCCGGCUAACUUCGUGCCAGCAGCCGCGGUAAUACGAAGGGGGCUAGCGUUGCUCGGAAUUACUGGGCGUAAAGGGAGCGUAGGCGGACAUUUAAGUCAGGGGUGAAAUCCCAGAGCUCAACUCUGGAACUGCCUUUGAUACUGGGUGUCUUGAGUGUGAUAGAGGUAUGUGGAACUCCGAGUGUAGAGGUGAAAUUCGUAGAUAUUCGGAAGAACACCAGUGGCGAAGGCGACAUACUGGAUCAUUACUGACGCUGAGGCUCGAAAGCGUGGGGAGCAAACAGGAUUAGAUACCCUGGUAGUCCACGCCGUAAACGAUGAUUGCUAGUUGUCGGGAUGUUUACAUCUCGGUGACGCAGCUACGACAUAAGACAUACCGCCGUCGGGAGGUACGGUCGCGAAGUAAGUUAAACUUAACGAAAGUAAAGUUAGUUACGGCGNGAGAGNGCGACGGACGACGACGAGGGAGGAGG
rnacentral:rRNA from 1 species